rnacentral:tRNA from 1 species
GCCCGGGUGGUGAAACUGGUAUACACGAGAGACUUAAAAUCUCUUGGACUUAACAUCCGUGCGGGUUCGAGUCCCGCCCCGGGCACCA